rnacentral:rRNA from 1 species
AAAAAAGGUAAGCUACUAAGAGCGAAUGGUGGAUGCCUUGACUGGUAAAGGCGAUGAAGGACGUACUAGACUGCGAUAAGCUACGGGGAGCUGUCAAGAAGCUUUGAUCCGUAGAUUUCCGAAUGGGGCAACCCAAUGUAUAGAGAUAUACAUUACCUAUAUAGGAGCGAACGAGGGGAAUUGAAACAUCUUAGUACCCUCAGGAAAAGAAAUCAAUAGAGAUUGCGUCAGUAGCGGCGAGCGAAAGCGCAAGAGGGCAAACCCAGUGCUUGCACUGGGGGUUGUAGGACUGCAAUGUGCAAGAGCUGAGUUUAGCAGAACAUUCUGGAAAGUAUAGCCAUAGAGGGUGAUAGUCCCGUAUGCGAAAAACAAAGCUUAGCUAGCAGUAUCCUGAGUAGGGCGGGACACGAGGAAUCCUGUCUGAAUCCGGGUCGACCACGAUCCAACCCUAAAUACUAAUACCAGAUCGAUAGUGCACAAGUACCGUGAGGGAAAGGUGAAAAGAACUGAGGUGAUCAGAGUGAAAUAGAACCUGAAACCAUUUGCUUACAAUCAUUCAGAGCACUAUGUAGCAAUACAGUGUGAUGGACUGCCUUUUGCAUAAUGAGCCUGCGAGUUGUGGUGUCUGGCAAGGUUAAGCAAACGCGAAGCCGUAGCGAAAGCGAGUCUGAAUAGGGCGCUUAGUCAGAUGCUGCAGACCCGAAACGAAGUGAUCUAUCCAUGAGCAAGUUGAAGCUAGUGUAAGAACUAGUGGAGGACUGAACCCAUAGGCGUUGAAAAGCCCCGGGAUGACUUGUGGAUAGGGGUGAAAGGCCAAUCAAACUUCGUGAUAGCUGGUUCUCUCCGAAAUAUAUUUAGGUAUAGCGUUGUGUCGUAAUAUAAGGGGGUAGAGCACUGAAUGGGCUAGGGCAUACACCAAUGUACCAAACCCUAUCAAACUCCGAAUACCUUAUAUGUAAUCACAGCAGUCAGGCGGCGAGUGAUAAAAUCCGUCGUCAAGAGGGAAACAACCCAGACUACCAGCUAAGGUCCCUAAAUCUUACUUAAGUGGAAAACGAUGUGAAGUUACUUAAACAACCAGGAGGUUGGCUUAGAAGCAGCCAUCCUUUAAAGAAAGCGUAAUAGCUCACUGGUCUAGUGAUUUUGCGCGGAAAAUAUAACGGGGCUAAAGUAAGUACCGAAGCUGUAGACUUGCGCACAACUUAGAUUAUUUAAGUUUAGAAUAUGAGAAACUAAGUUAUAUUUUUACUGAUUUUUAUAGAGUAAAGAUAGAAAUAAAACUUAGUAAAAUCAGUAAAAAUAUUCUUAGGCUAAAGUUAAGUAGUUUAAGUUGUGUGCAAGUGGUAGGAGAGCGUUCUAUUUGCGUCGAAGGUAUACCGGUAAGGAGUGCUGGAGCGAAUAGAAGUGAGCAUGCAGGCAUGAGUAGCGAUAAUUAAUGUGAGAAUCAUUAACGCCGUAAACCCAAGGUUUCCUACGCGAUGCUCGUCAUCGUAGGGUUAGUCGGGUCCUAAGUCGAGUCCGAAAGGGGUAGACGAUGGCAAAUUGGUUAAUAUUCCAAUACCAACAUUAGUGUGCGAUGGAAGGACGCUUAGGGCUAAGGGGGCUAGCGGAUGGAAGUGCUAGUCUAAGGUCGUAGGAGGUUAUACAGGCAAAUCCGUAUAACAAUACUCCGAGAACUGAAAGGCUUUUUGAAGUCUUCGGAUGGAUAGAAGAACCCCUGAUGCCGUCGAGCCAAGAAAAGUUUCUAAGUUUAGCUAAUGUUGCCCGUACCGUAAACCGACACAGGUGGGUGGGAUGAGUAUUCUAAGGCGCGUGGAAGAACUCUCUUUAAGGAACUCUGCAAAAUAGCACCGUAUCUUCGGUAUAAGGUGUGGUUAGCUUUGU